GACGAACGCUGGCGGCGUGCUUAACACAUGCAAGUCGUACGGUAAGGCCCUUUCGGGGGUACACGAGUGGCGAACGGGUGAGUAACACGUGAGUAACCUGCCCACAACUUUGGGAUAACGCUAGGAAACUGGUGCUAAUACUGGAUAUGUGCUCCUGCUGCAUGGUGGGGGUUGGAAAGCUCCGGCGGUUGUGGAUGGACUCGCGGCCUAUCAGCUUGUUGGUGGGGUAGUGGCCUACCAAGGCGGCGACGGGUAGCCGGCCUGAGAGGGUGACCGGCCACAUUGGGACUGAGAUACGGCCCAGACUCCUACGGGAGGCAGCAGUGGGGAAUAUUGCACAAUGGGCGCAAGCCUGAUGCAGCAACGCCGCGUGCGGGAUGACGGCCUUCGGGUUGUAAACCGCUUUCAGCAGGGACGAAGCUUUUUGUGACGGUACCUGCAGAAGAAGCACCGGCUAACUACGG
rnacentral:rRNA from 1 species